UAGUUUGAUCCUGGCUCAGGACGAACGCUGACGGUGUGCUUUAGACAUGCAAGUCGAACGAGAAAGCCCUUCGGGGUUAGUAAAGUGGCGAACGGGUGCGUAACACGUGGGCAAUCUGCCCCUCGCAGGGGGACAACUGGAGGAAACUCCAGCUAAUACCCCGUAAGCUUUCAGGGUCGCAUGGCCUUGUAAGGAAAGGUAGCUUCGGCCAUCCGGCGAGGGAUGAGCCCGCGGUACAUUAGCUAGUUGGUGGGGUAACGGCCUACCAAGGCGACGAUGUAUAGCUGGUCUGAGAGGAUGAUCAGCCACACUGGGACUGAGACACGGCCCAGACUCCUACGGGAGGCAGCAGUCGGGAAUCUUGCACAAUGGGCGAAAGCCUGAUGCAGCAACACCGUGUGAGCGAGGAAGGCCUUCGGGUCGUAAAGCUCUGUUGUUGGGGAAGAAGGGCGAAGGGUUAAUAACCCCUAGCUUGACGGUACCCUUCUAGAAAGCCCCGGCUAACUACGUGCCAGCAGCCGCGGUAAUACGUAGGGGGCGAGCGUUGUCCGGAAUUAUUGGGCGUAAAGAGCGUGUAGGCGGUUCGGUAAGUCUGUCGUGAAAACCUGGGGCUCAACCCCGGGCGUGCGAUGGAUACUGCCGAGCUAGAGGGUGGUAGAGGCGAGUGGAAUUCCCAGUGUAGCGGUGAAAUGCGCAGAUAUUGGGAGGAACACCAGUAGCGAAGGCGGCUCGCUGGGCCACACCUGACGCUGAGACGCGAAAGCGUGGGGAGCAAACAGGA
rnacentral:rRNA from 1 species